AUUGAACGCUGGCGGCAUGCCUUACACAUGCAAGUCGAACGGCAACGGGCCUUCGGGUGCCGACGAGUGGCGAACGGGUGAGUAAUACAUCGGAACGUGCCCGAUCGUGGGGGAUAACGAGGCGAAAGCUUUGCUAAUACCGCAUACGAUCUACGGAUGAAAGCAGGGGACCGCAAGGCCUUGCGCGGACGGAGCGGCCGAUGGCAGAUUAGGUAGUUGGUGGGAUAAAAGCUUACCAAGCCGACGAUCUGUAGCUGGUCUGAGAGGAUGAUCAGCCACACUGGGACUGAGACACGGCCCAGACUCCUACGGGAGGCAGCAGUGGGGAAUUUUGGACAAUGGGCGCAAGCCUGAUCCAGCCAUGCCGCGUGCAGGAUGAAGGCCUUCGGGUUGUAAAAUGCUUUUGUACGGAACGAAAAGCCUUCUUUUAAUACAGGAGGGUCAUGACGGUACCGUAAGAAUAAGCACCGGCUAACUACGUG
rnacentral:rRNA from 1 species